rnacentral:rRNA from 1 species
GACGAACGCUGGCGGCGUGCUUAACACAUGCAAGUCGAACGGAAAGGCCAUGCUCUUGCGGGGUUCUCGAGUGGCGAACGCGUGAGUAACACGCGAGUAACCUGCCCCUGUCUUAGGGAUAUCUUCAGGAAACUGGGGCUAAUACAGGAUAGGAGCUCCUGCAGCACGGUGUGGGUUGGAGAGUUACGGCGGUGUGGGAUGGACUCGCGGGUUAUGCGCUUGAUUGUGGGGUUGGGGCGUACGAAGGUUUUGAAGGCUAGGCGGCCUGAGAGAGUGGCCAGGCACAAUGGGACUGCGGUACGGAGCAGAAUCCUAUGGGACGCAGCAGGGGGGAAUAUUGCAGAACGGGCGCGAGCCUGAGGCGGCAGCGCCGCGUGCGUGAUGACGGGCUUCGGGUGGUGAACCACUUUCGCCUGUGACGAAGCGUGAGUGACGGUAAUGGGUAAAGAAGCACCGGCUAACUACGUG